rnacentral:rRNA from 1 species
UACGUAGGGUGCAAGCGUUGUCCGGAAUUAUUGGGCGUAAAGAGCUCGUAGGCGGUGUGUCACGUCGGCCGUGAAAGCCUGCAGCUUAACUGUGGGCGUGCGGUCGAUACGGGCAUCACUGGAGUUCGGCAGGGGAGACUGGAAUUCCUGGUGUAGCGGUGAAAUGCGCAGAUAUCAGGAGGAACACCGGUGGCGAAGGCGGGUCUCUGGGCCGAUACUGACGCUGAGGAGCGAAAGCGUGGGGAGCAAACAGG